UCCCCCCGGGGGGGGGGGGUCCUACAACACGCGGUGUUUCUGGUAUCUCUUCUCUAUUUGGAUAWCUGUGGUAAUUCUAGAGCUAAUACAUGCAACAAAGCCCUGAUCAUUSAAGUGACGGGCGCAUUUAUUAGAACAAAACCAUCUGGCCUCGCGCCACAUGAUGGUGACUCUGAAUAACUGAGCCGAUCGCACGGGCUCGUCCCGGCGACGUAUCUUUCAAGUGUCUGCCUUAUCAGGUAUCGUUGGCGGUUUAUGUGACCGCCAAGCCUGUAACGGGUAACGGAGGAUCAGGGUCUGACUCCGGAGAGGGAGCCUGAGAAACGGCUACCACUUCUAAGGAAGGCAGCAGGCGCGCAAAUUACCCACUCUUGGUUCAAGGAGGUAGUGACGAAAAAUACCAAGGUCAGGCUCAUCGAGCUUGACCAUUGGAAUGAGAACAAUGCAAAUCCUUUAACGAGGAUCUAGUGGAGGGCAAGUCUGGUGCCAGCAGCCGCGGUAAUUCCAGCUCCGCAAGUGUAUUCCUAUACUGUUGCGUUUAAAUAGCUCGUAGUUGGAUCUGCGUGUUUAGCGCGCGGUGCCAAUUAWUGUGGUUACUGCGUCGCGACACUGUACGCCAGUCGACGGCGCUUUGAUAAAGAGUGCAGUUGCUGGCAAGUUUACUUUGAACAAAUCAGAGUGCUCAAAACGGGCGUUUCGCUCGAAUGUUCUUGCAUGGAAUAAUGGAAUAGGACCGCGCGUUCUAUUUUGUUGGUUUUCGGGACGCGGGUAAUGAUUAAGAGGGACAGACGGGGGCAUUUGUACUGCGACGUGAGAGGUGAAAUUCUUGGAUCGUCGCAAGACAGACUACUGCGAAAGCAUUUGCCAAGAAUGUUUUYUUAAUCAAGAGAGAGACACGGGUGCGAGAGAGACAAAAACCCCCCCCCCAAAAAG
rnacentral:rRNA from 1 species